UACGUAGGGUGCGAGCGUUAAUCGGAAUUACUGGGCGUAAAGUGUGCGCAGGCGGCCGAGCAAGUCGAGUGUGAAAGCCCCGAGCUUAACUUGGGAACUGCGCUCGAAACUACUUGGCUGGAGUGUGGCAGAGGAAGGUGGAAUUCCACGUGUAGCGGUGAAAUGCGUAGAGAUGUGGAGGAACACCGAUGGCGAAGGCGGCAUCCUGGACCGACACUGACGCUGAGGAGCGAAAAGCCAGGGGAGCAAACGGG
rnacentral:rRNA from 1 species